GGAUAAUGAAGUAAAAUUAUACAUUUAGUUUCGACCUAAAAAUAGGAUUAUAUCCCUUAUCCC
rnacentral:tRNA from 2 species